CUUUCUUUCUCUCGGAGGACCUGAGCCCUAGGACCAUGCCUCGGGACUGCCUGGCCUGAUGACUCCUUGCUGUCCCCAGUCCACCUGGCCGUGCUGCUGCUCCAGUUUCAACUGUUCUGCCUGCGGCUAUGGAACCCUGACCUGUUCACCGGACGUGCUACCUGUCCCAGACCUGCUGUUUUCAACUCUCUAGAGACAGCAGGAGUGGUAGAGAUACUCUGAAUGAUCGGCUAUGAAAAGCCAACUGACAUUUACUCCUGAGGUUGAUUUCUGGGGGCCAGUUGCUGUGCGUGGAUGGACACAGUAUGGCAGGAUUCUCACAGGGAAGGUUGCCAAGCAGAGGGCAGCAUACCAUGGUCUGGCUGACCUGCUUGAUGAACCACCUCCGCAUUGGAUGGUAGUGGCCCUGCUAAGUCCAACGGUAAGACCGUGAUCCUGUAUGAGGGUAUGGAGCAGACUAUGGGGUAAUAACCUUCCCCAUGGAGGGAACAGAACACAGAGAGAACAGGCCCUGCUGGAGAACAGACAGCUGUACUGCUCCAGCCCCAACAUGUGCAGAGUCCAGGAGGACAACAUCAGAGGUGAUGCAGCCCCUGAGAAUCUCACAUCAAAUGACUCCACCAAAGUCAAAGCCUUGAAUCUGUGGAGAACAUUGCUGCCCCACAUCUCAAGCACUAAGCCCAGGACAGACCUGUGCUGGCAGUGGCAGAGGAACAACUAUCAGGUCUUCAGAUCUGCCAAUCUGACAGAAGCUGUUAAAUCAGCCAAGCUGAAGAAGCAAGAGCAGCAUCUCCUGCUUGUUCAGAGUGAGCAGUCUGUCUACCAGAAGAUGGUUGCUGACAGUAAUACCAUCUGUCAAGACCUGCAGUUGACUCUGGGGCCCUACUGAACCAGCAAAGACAUCAGGAUGCAUUACAGCUUUGAUUUUACUCAACAAGUGCACUAUCCUUUUGACCCUAUGCAGCCAGGUCCCAUCUAAUUUUUAACUUCUCGCAAGUGUGUCUUGUUUGGUGUCGGCUGUGAAGGAAUACCACAACAAGUCAACUACUUGAUUGAUGAAGGCAUGUCAUCCAGCAAAGACAGCAGCAGUCAUCAACUACAUGCACCAUUUCUUCACCAACUACAGAGUUGGCGAAACACGUGUGGACCUGAAUUGUGAUAACUGCAGUGGCCAAAAUAAGAACAAGUUUGUGCUCUGGUAUUGUGCCUGGCGGACCAUGCACAAGCUCCACCACAGUCUGGAACUUCACUUCCUGAUCACAGGCCACACCAAGUUUUCCCCCGACUGGUGCAUCAGCCUCAUCAAGCAGCGCUUCAGAAAGACCAGAGUGAACACUUUGUCUGAGAUUGCUGGUGUUGUGAAGGACAUCACUGUGACAGGGGUCAACAUCCCAGAGCUGGUUGGACUGCUGGUGGAAAGCUAUGGCUGGCAACAACACCUGACUCCGUACUUCAGGCCGCUGCCACAGAUCAAGCAGUACCAGCACUUCAGCUUCGGUGCUCUGGAGCCUGGUGGUGUUGUCGCCAAGGAGCGUUCGGACUGUCGGGACCAGGUUCCAGCUGCUGCGCAACGCUGACAUCCUUCUUCCCAUAGAUGGUCUGCCUGUACAAGCACCACCUGGACCGGACACAGCUAGACAAACUUAUCUUUUUGAGAAGAUUAGGGAGUUUUACAAUGAAGAGGCUAUGGGCAUCACAUGCCCUUCACCAAAGUCAAGGGCAGGACAGAAACAGACUCUCCGAAUAUAGAUUCCCUUGUUCAUGCGUGGUUCAGACAGACCACUCAUCAGCACUAUCUGCAGUUCCUCACCACUUUACCCGACUGUAUGCAUACAACUAGCUCGUCUAUCACUAUCGUUAUUGUUCGUCUACAUACUGUAUAUCAUUUUAUAUUUGCACUAUUUCUGAUAAUGCUAAUAUGCAAGUAACCAUUUGGCUGUACCGUUUACACCUUCUGUAAAGACCCAUCACUUAGCAAGACUUUGAGACUUAGCAAAAUAUUGAUAUAUAAAAUGAAUAUUGAUAUGUGUGGUCGUAACAUGAUUUU
rnacentral:lncRNA from 1 species